UUUGCUUGCACUUUUGCAGCAUACUCUCUUCUAAUCUGUGUUUUGCAGUGCACAAAAUCAGUGGUAGAACGUAGAACCUACAAGUUUUUUUGUUUUGCACGGUGUUUUAUUUAAUAAACGCUUCUGUUGUGCGAAUUGGACGCGUGACGUGCUGAAGAUUAAAGACUUUGCAUAAUGGAAUCAAAAAAAUUUUUUUUGGUUACAUUUUUAGAUGAAGAUGAUGCUCCUGGCAUAGUUUCAUCAAAGUGGUUAAGAUACCAACACUUGUUAUUACCCUAAUGUAUGCACUGAAGAAAUCAAAAACAAACUUGAAGAAGAUGCCUGCACCUGAAGCAACAUGGUCACAAUAUCAAAUAAAAAUACUUAAAAGUUAUGAAACUUAUGGCGAAGCACGAUUACAUUUAAAAAAAGCGGAAGAAACCUGAAAUUUGGACUCAGACGAAGCAGAAAAUGAUGUUACAAAUGAAGUGACAGUGGACAUAAUGUCUGCUGUAAAUUACCCAGUCACCUCCGGUUCUAAAGAGGCCAAGCAAACACAACUCAAAGCUGUUAACUGCCAAUCAGAGUGCAUUACAAACAAGCAAUAUGCUAUACAGCAGAGUCAUAUGAUUCAGAUUGUGUCAGACCUAGCUAACCAAAUGGCUGAAAUCAAUAGAAAAUUGGAUUUACCGUUAGCUAGGUCCGAAGAAACAUUUUCACCAACAGAUGACAAUGCAGGUCUUUCAGAACUUUUGGCAAGUCUACCAGUAAAGAUAUUGCAAGUUUUAAUAAUUUCGAUGACCAUUUAAAAAUAAACAAGAAUACAGGCAAUAAUGUCAUUUUUGUCUGGUAUUGGCGGCAGAAAUGUAAGAAGCCUUACGACUAAUAUGUUGAGACAAAUAAUUCUAGAUGAUGUAUAGCCGAGUUGUAUUCGUUAACUGGGAAACAGAUGAAAAAUUCGAAUAAAAAGUCAUUUAUGAGUACAGAAACCUAUAAAUUAAUCUUUCAAAUAUGUAGAAAAAUCAACGAAGAUGUAACUGAAGACAGUCUAAAAGAAAUUAUAAGUGAUUGGCUAAAUCAAGCUAAAGUUAGACUUUCAAGAAGAGCAGAAACACAAAAUAAAGAAAAAAACCAAUAGCGGCGACCAUGAAACCGAUUUUUUCUCAUUUAAAGUAAGAUAAGAUAAAAGUAUAAAUAAUAAAAAAAUAUAUGUUA